UAUACAGAAAAGUGUGGCAAUGAACGCACCUGAUCUUGUCUAAUCUCUGAAGCUAAGCAGGGUUGGGCCUGGUUAGUACUUGGAUAGGAGAAAAGUUUGGCAAAAUUGAAAGCAUUCUGUAAGA
rnacentral:rRNA from 1 species